CCAAGCUUCAAUAUAUCUUCCAGUGAAGCCAUUGACUGUCGCAGUAUGAUCUUUUGCUGAACACCUAGACAAUUAAAGUAAACAACAUGGAAAAAUAAGAGACCACCCCUGACUAAUAUUUCUUUACACAAUACGAAAGUUUAUUCUAGACUCUUCUCACAAUAACAAAAAUGAAUCCAUCAUUGUGUAGAGUUUCUCAAUCACUUUAUCCAUCUAUAUAUUCCUCUAUUAUCAAAAAAAAAUCAUGGAUUGUAUACACAUAGAAUUCCACAUGUUCGUUACACUUCUUUGUAUCAGGUUUACAUACAAAGCUUAUAUCUUCGAAGUCUCAUUUCCUCCAAUGCAGUUCAAUGCAUUCAUUAGCUGUGAGAACUUAAGCGUACCAUGCUGUUAAUGUUCUCUAACAGAAAAAAAAUGCAUACAUAUAUAAUAUAACUAAUAUUGUUUCAGCACUUUAGGUAACACAAGAUGAUAAAUGAAGUACUCAC
rnacentral:lncRNA from 1 species